CUAAAGGUUACAAUAAAAUGCCUCAGAAAUCGCUAAAUAUCCUCCAUAAACACAUUAUUCAAUAAGAUCUAAGCAAUUACAAGCCAAAAAUGAAAACAUAAGACAACCCUUUUUUCUCUUCACCAAUUAAAUGAUUAAAGGGCACUAGACUGUCAAGGUCUCCUGCUGGACAUGCCAAGCAACAACAUCCUUGUAUGAUAAGUUCCCUCCAAAGAUAUCAAGAGCACUGCCCACAGUAACAUCAACACAUCCCUUCCCUGCUGUCUUUAUCCUCUCUAAAUCAUUCAUGACCGUCACACCACCUGCGUAGGUCACGGGAAUCUGGCAUCCAAACCACAAUGCGUUAAUAAUCCAUGCAUUGAAAUAGCACAUAUACUUAAUUGUAUUGAUAUAUUGACUUGGUUCCUAUGUAAGUGGAAUCGAACUAUAAGUUUCCAGUUAUCAUUUAGUCAGAAAGAUUAGGCUACUGGCUACAUAACCACCAGACCUAUUAAGCAAUAGCAACGAUCACUUGUCCUUAUCAGUGAACCACUCAUUUAGGAUAGCCAAUUCCAAUUGAUGUAAAUUUAGGCUUGUGGAUAUGCUUAAAGCAUUCCUCAGUUUUUCAGUAUUCAUGAAGGUGAGACCCAUAAAUGGUUUUGUGUUUAUAAUUGCUUUCCCUCAUGUUAACCUAAUCUUGCAUCAUUAAUCUUAAUUGCACUAGCAUAUCAAGACCAGUACAAGUGAAAAAGGAUACUGGAUAAGCAUUUGGAGCACUCACUGGGUGAAAUCAUGAUAUUGCCAAAGUUGCAUGGCAUUUUCUUAAGGAAAUACUAGUGAUAAAAAAUGAGUAUAGCAUAAAAAAAUCUGAGAAGCAGAAACAGAAGAAAACACAAUCAGACAUGCAAAAUUAUAUGUUACAGACCGGUGAGUGCCUGCCAAGCAAUUCCACAAGCUCUUCAUCAAUUCCCAGCCUGAAAAUACAAGCAAUGAGGUACAUUUAGUCCAUAUAUAUUAUAUCAGAUCCAGAAAAAAUUUUAAAAAUAAGAAAUCUUGGAUGCUGUCUCCUGUUAAGAUAAGGAAACAGAAUGUCAUGGCACCAACCAUCCAUCUUCAUUCAUUCUCCUAGUUAAAAAGAAAACAAUAACUAAGAGGGAGAUUUAUACAAUUGAAGGUUUUCAAAUGAUAAAAGAGAGAAUUUAUACAGAAACGCUUUAAAUCUCAUGAUGAAAGAUUUCGGAUUUUACAAUACAGUCAUAUUUCUUAUCAUACCUAAAUAACCAGUGGAAAGCCCUCAUAUAGGGCCAAGUAAUGAGAGAAAAUACCACAGUAUCCUUGUUCAAGGAUUAGGGAAACACCUCAUGUAAGAGAGCAAAACCAUGAUAUCAUGUACUUUAACACCAAUUGGUGCAUGAAGUCUAAAAGCAAUAAAAUUGAGUUUCCAAAAUUUUGCCUUACUUUUUCCCUUCAACAUCAACACCAUGAACUAAGAACUCAUCUGCAUAGUUGGCAAGAAAUUCCAAUACUUCCUCAUCAAGAUAUACAUCACUGAACUUCUGCCAUCUAUCAGUUACAAUUGCAUAUCUACCUUCCUUCUUUCUGCAGCUAAGAUCUAGCACAAGCCUUUGCUUUCCAACAACAUGGACAAGAUCUCUUAGCCUUUCCAAGUCCAUUUGACCAUUAUUAAACACAUACUGCAAGGAAAAUGAUACCUUUUAAAGCAAGAUAAGAAACAUUGCAACCUGCAAAGACCUUAUGAGGUCAUGUGAAAAAAAGUGCAAGGUCUUGCAAGUACCUCUGUCAGGGGGACUACAGCAUAUUUCUCAUGAUUUUGUCACUUGUACAUUAAAUAUAUAAACUCUAAAUAUUACCAGUUAUAACAAGAAGUAAACUCUCCUAUAAGUUAAUUUUCUUCAAACGUGAAGCACCAUGGAAGUUUGUGGUCUUGUUGCAUGAAACAGAACAGAUGCCAAAGAGAAUAAUGCAAGGUAAUGGGGAAACAUAAGAAUACACAAUUUAUCAAUUCAAGAGUCAUAUAGGAUGUGAUAACAUACCGAAGUAACAAUGACAUGGCUGGCUCCUUCUUCUAUGUAACUUAAACAAUUGUUUGUGUUAAUACCACCUCCAACUUGUAAGCCGCCUAGAUUUUGCCAAUCCUCGCAGUAAGUUCAGCAGAGGAAAAAUCAGGAUAAGCAUGCAGUGCUUCUACAGCUGCAGCUUUGCUUAAAGGAUCAGCUCCAAGCAUGAUUACAUGACCACCCACAAGCCCAUCUUCUUUGUAUAAAUUUGCAAACUCUGCUGCUGACUUAUCUGAUUCAAAGUUUGUUACAAGAAUUGACCCGUCCUCCUUUGAAUCUCGAAGGGUAGACCCAACAAUUUGCUUCACUUUUCCCUUGUGUAAGUCGAUGCAAGGGCGGAAGCGAACGGCACAGUGUAUAGACAAACGCGAAGAUCUGCAGACAAGUGAAGGCGAGGUUGUGAUACAUUUGUAGUUGUUUCGAACGCUAGGUAUUAUUAUAGAGCAGAAAUUUCUUUCCACUGAAGUGGGGCCGCGGGAUGAAGUAGCAUGGAGGCCGCCGAUUCUCAUCGUGCUUGAUUCCACCGCAAUGAGAGGGAGAUCGGAUUAUUGGAGGUUAAACAGAACAGCUCUGAGUCCCUUAUUUACCA
rnacentral:misc_RNA from 1 species